CCCAUUUCCUAUAAAUGCCCCCCCCCUGUCCCUUAACGCCUAACUUUUCAUUUAUAGAGGGUGGUGGUGCACAAACACGUCGUUUGUGUAUAUUUGUGAUCUGUAACACAUUCAAUACGAACACCUAAACUUGUCGUAUGGCCGCUGCAGGAGCUGCCGCGGACGGGCUGUUCCGGUGCGUGUACGAGGGUUGCUUAUCAGAGUUGGAUAUCGGAGUGGAGCGGCGCCCGUACCACCGCAACUGUGGCUGUGCCCUACACAACAAGUCACCUAACAAGCAAUGUACCCACGGAGGGCCUAAGAGUAAGAAAGUGUCGUAUCCGCUAAGGCGGGCUUGGAGCGAAGGGAACUUGGCUUUGGUGGCUUCAGCCGGUUCUUCUGUGCACUCCUCGCCGUCUUCCUCGCCGGCUAAGCACCACCAUGCGGUCGGGAGGCUACAUCAGCGGCGGCAGUCGCAUCAACAAUUGGAUACUUUGUGCGAUGAGGACGAGGAGGAGGAUGAGGAGGAGAAUGUUCUCUUCAAGGUUUGAUGUUUUAGACUGCAAAUAUGAAAUCUUGGAUCCCCUUCUUCCUUGCUCUCCUUCAAAACCCAAUUUGGGGAUCUAGCUAGAUUGUGGGUUGAGCUAUUGAGGAAGAACUUUGGCAGAGCUCUCUUUUAUAUUGGAUGGAAUCAGGGUGGGAUCGAGAGUGACCAAAAUAUAAUAUAACAGGUCAUAUGUUUUUGUUAGAGGUGUCAGACAAAUAACAUGACUGGUAACCCUUCUCAAGAUGUUGAUAAUUGGAGCCGGUGCCAAAAGCAUACAAGUAUAUGGAAAUUUUUUUUGACUUCUUACUUAUAACAAGUCAUUCAGUUCAACAAAUAAAUUGUAAGCGGACAUAUGUGUAAUAUAUUUACAUAUGUAUUAAAUUGUGACUUGCAGAUAAACCUUUUUUUAGAUA